GUUGGUCAGGCUGGUCUCCGGCUCCUGACCACAGGUGAUCUGCCCGCCUCGGCCUCCCAAAGUGCUGGGAUUACAGGUGUGAACCACUGAGCCUGGCCUCCUUAUUCUUAAUGACCACUUGGAAUCCAAUGACAGAAUCUGCCACCACAACUUCCAGCCUCCAGGGGACGGACACCCACUUUCAAGGAUUUCUUCCCAGGGACAUGACCCUAUGCCAGCCCACACCACAGUCUUGGUCAUCACUCCUGUUUCCAUGGUGUUAACAGCAGCAGUUACUUGGUUACGGAGAGCUUUUCCUUACGCCAGCACCCUAUCCAUAUCGCUUGGACAGUACGUACACAAUGGUGAUGUUAUUGCUCGUCAUGUAUUACUAGUAAGAGCUUUGUCCCAGCAAGGAAGCCACCCAUGCAUCCACCAAACAUGAGAAACUCAAUCCCCAAAUCUCGUUUUGAAGUUCUGGUUCCUAGUCCAUUCCUAGUAGCCACAAUGAGAUCAGUCAGGGUCUUAGGAGGAAAAAACAUUCACACAGAUGUUUUAAAUGAAGGGACCUUAAUGACUAAACUACUAACAGACCUGUUGGCAUAUUAAGGAAAGAAAUGAGAGAGAUGGGGAAACUAAGGACUGGUAACAGCUGGAAGGCUUUGCCACCCUAAGAAUCAAACAGGGAAGGGAAAGAUGCAGCGUUACCAGGUCCUGUGUGAGCUGGCAUGAAGCCCGGGAGGUACCACCAUGGAGGCAUGGGGCUUCCUGAGAAGUGGUGAGGAAGAAUGGAUGGAGCAGGGAAGCAAGACCCCUUCCACCCACCGGCCCCCUGCUGCUGACCUCUUGGCCAAAUGGGACAGAAGCCAGCUUGCAGGGGCUGCUAUUCCGCCUGUGGGUAUCAGGGCAGAAAGUGGGCAGUUUCAGGGCAGGUGGGGUCAGUCAACAAUUCAGUUCAUCUUUUUCAGUUUUCUUUCUGGAUGAUUUUCAGAUGCUGUCUUGUGGUGUUGGGACUGCAGUUUCAUGAAAAUAUGUCUAGGUGUAGAGUUUGUUUUAUUCUGCUUAGAUAUAGAGUGCUUCCUAUGUUGGUGGAUCCAUCUUUUUUGACAUUAUGGAAAUUGUCUCUUUAAGUGUGUCUACUGCUGUAUUCUUUUUUUUUUUUGUAGGAAAGCAAAUAUAUGCGACUUUUUCAUUCUGUUAUCUAGAGGCAGUUUUGAAUGGUGAUUAAAAGCAUGAUUUCUGAAGAAGACUGCCUGGGUUUAAAUCUUAUUCCCCAAAGUUCCUAGCUGUGUGACCUUAGGCAAGUUACUUAAAAUCUCCGUCCCUCUGUAAUCUCACCAUGUAAAUGAGGGUGACAUUAGCACGGUGCAGGUUUGACGUGAGGAUUGAAUGGAUGAAUGUCAGGAAAGAUCCAGGACAUAAUGGAAAAACUUAUGUCUUAC
rnacentral:lncRNA from 10 species